GAGGACUCUUUGCCUCAGACCCGGACAAUCGACACUCCCGCCCGCCAUACAAACUAUUGGGACUUCCCAGGCUGAUUGUGGUGUGCAUGUUGGGUAUAUAUAGGCAGGUCAGCCUGCCUGGGGUAGACAGACCACUGGGAGGCACUGACAUGCCGAAGGCGACCGGGAAAUCCCAAGCUUCUAGCACAGUCGCGGAACAACCGUCGCCAAAGAACAAAGAGAGGAAGAUGAGGAAGUCCUCAAGUCAACCCAGGUCCGGAGGCAGUGUCAAGGCGGCCAAGAAAACCACGGGGGCCGAAAGACCCCUUCGAAGGAGAUCCACUAAAAAAGCCUCUAGAAAACGUCCCACCUCUUCAGUCAAAUCUAAGGAAGCGAGAGGAACAACCCUAUUCGGUCACUAUCACAGGCUGAAUGAAGAGCUGAAUCAAGAUGAGCCAGAGGAGGACGGAGAGAGCAUGGAGAAGCCCAGCACUUCACGUGCCUACCUGCACCGCCGGUAACUUCAGAGCGAGGCCACAGACCUCAGAGAGGAAUCAUCUGAGAAGUCUCUGAGAUCUGGCCCCUGAGAAAUGGGCAACGGUGUUGACGUCAUUUGACAGCAGCAGGGUGCCCUGAUGGUGAUUUAAAUAAAACGGACCUGUUGUGAAAAUG
rnacentral:lncRNA from 1 species